CCUACGGGGGGCAGCAGUCGAGAAUCAUUCACAAUGGGGGAAACCCUGAUGGUGCGACACCGCGUGGGGGAAUGAAGGUCUUCGGAUUGUAAACCCCUGUCAUGUGGGAGCAAAUUAAAAAGAUAGUACCACAAGAGGAAGAGACGGCUAACUCUGUGCCAGCAGCCGCGGUAAUACAGAGGUCUCAAGCGUUGUUCGGAAUCACUGGGCGUAAAGCGUGCGUAGGCUGUUUCGUAAGUCGUGUGUGAAAGGCGCGGGCUCAACCCGCGGACGGCACAUGAUACUGCGAGACUAGAGUAAGGGAGGGGGAACCGGAAUUCUCGGUGUAGCAGUGAAAUGCGUAGAUAUCGAGAGGAACACUCGUGGCGAAGGCGGGUUCCUGGACAUUAACUGACGCUGAGGCACGAAGGCCAGGGGAGCGAAAGGGAUUAGAUACCCUAGUAGUC
rnacentral:rRNA from 1 species